UAGGGAAUCUUCCACAAUGGGCGAAAGCCCGAUGGAGCAACGCCGCGUGUGUGAUGAAGGCUUUCGGGUCGUAAAGCACUGUUGUAUGGGAAGAACAGCUAGAAUAGGAAAUGAUUUUAGUUUGACGGUACCAUACCAGAAAGGGACGGCUAAAUACGUGCCAG
rnacentral:rRNA from 1 species